rnacentral:rRNA from 1 species
GACUCUUAGCGGUGGAUCACUCAGCUCGUGCGUCGAUGAAGAACGCAGCUAGCUGCGAGAAUUUAUGUGAAUUGCAGGACACAUUGAUCAUCGACACUUCGGAACGCACUUGCGGCCCGGGUUCCUCCCGGGGGCUACGCCUGUCUGAGCGUCG